rnacentral:rRNA from 1 species
GACAGAGGGUGCAACCGUUGUUCGGAAUUACUGGGCGUAAAGGGUGCGUAGGCGGGUCUUUAAGUCAGGGGGGAAAUCCUGGAGCUCAACUCCAGAACUGCCUUUGAUACUGAAGAUCUUGAGUUCGGGAGAGGUGAGUGGAACUGCGAGUGUAGAGGUGAAAUUCGUAGAUAUUCGCAAGAACACCAGUGGCGAAGGCGGCUCACUGGCCCGAUACUGACGCUGAGGCACGAAAGCGUGGGGAGCAAACAGG